GUAGCAAUAGGGUUUUUGUUUCCCUUUUUUUUUUAAGAAAAAAAAUGGGGGGCCUAGAAAAAAAGCUUACAAGUCUUGUUUCAGGAAAGCAGCUGGAACAUUAAUGGCAAUUCCACUUUCCCAUUCAUCGCCCCCGCCCCCACCACCCCACCAAGAAACUCAGUGGGAAUGAAUGGUCUACACAGAGAAACUGAAAUCUGGUUAGUCAAGAAGGAAAAAACAACCAAGUGCCUGGCAUUAAGAGGAUUUUUUUUUUAAGCUCAGCCUAUGGACAACAAAAGCAUGGACUGUAUUUCUCAGCAUCUUUUGCACUUGAACAAGAUUAUUUUUUCCUUGAAAAUUGACAUGGAUGGUCUGCCACUGUGGGCUUUAUCUUCAACAUCGUCUCACCCUUCUUAUUAAUAACACAAGUUAUCCACUUGUAAACUGCUGUUUUUUUGGGGCUAUCCACUUGUAAACUGCUGUUUUUUUGGGGGCACUGUCACCAUAAACUUUUGAUAAGGCAUCAGUGAUUUCAACAUUCUUCACCCAAGCUUCACCAUAAAUUUGAUGUUUCUUUUUGCUUCAUUUUAGCAGAAUUUGUUCCAAUAGGGGCUCUUUUCGAACUGAUUUUUUUUUUCAUUUUUUUCCACUGGGAUUUUGAGAAAAUCAAACUGAUAGCCUUCUUAGUGCCUCAAACUAGAUCCUGUUCAGACACAAACAAGUU
rnacentral:lncRNA from 10 species